rnacentral:misc_RNA from 1 species
GUCAGAGUCGUCUUGCCGGUCGACGUUCCCCCGGCGACGAGGAUGUUCUUCCGUGCGGCGACCGCGCUCUUCAGGAUCUCGGCCUGCUCCGAGGUCAUGAUUUCCUUGGCGACGUAAUCGUCGAGGGUAAACACCGCGACCGCUGGCUUGCGGAUAAAAAAAGCCCGGGGGGGCAACAACCGGGGGAAGCGCUCACCAGUUCCAGGCAGUUCUGCCGAAACCCGUGGCGCCCCGGCAUGCACCUCCG